rnacentral:rRNA from 1 species
CGCCUCUUGAGUAAUAAAUAUAAGAGGUACCGCCUGCCCAGUGACAAUGUUUAACGGCCGCGGUAUUUUGACCGUGCGAAGGUAGCGCAAUCACUUGUCUUUUAAAUGAAGACCUGUAUGAAUGGCAUAACGAGGGCUAAACUGUCUCCUUUUUCAAGUCAAUGAAAUUGAUCUUUCCGUGCAGAAGCGGGAAUAAAAAUAUAAGACGAGAAGACCCUUUGGAGCUUAAAAUAAAUCUGACUUAUCAAAUAAAUUCUUGCUAAGGAAACAAUUAAAUUAAAACUCAGAAUAAUUUUUGGUUGGGGCAACCACGGAGUAAAAAAAAACCUCCGAGGGGAAUGGGUUAUUAACCUAUAAUUAAGAAUUACUAUUCUAGAUAUUAAUAUAAUUAACCUUAAUGAUCCGGGAAACCGAAUAACGGAAAAAGUUACCCUAGGGAUAACAGCGCAAUCCUUUUCAAGAGUUCAUAUCGACAAAAGGGUUUACGACCUCGAUGUUGGAUCAGGACAUCCUAAUGGUGCAGCCGCUAUUAAGGGUUCGUUU